GAGGCAGAGAACAGAGGUUGUGCUGCGGAGAGAGCGAGCCCUUUAAAUGCGGGUAGAAGGCGGAGCCUGAGGUGGGGCUUCCGUGGGGCGGUUACUCUGGGUGGAGCUUCGGAGCCGCGCCCGCCCCGCCCGUCGGAAUGCCCCCAUGAAGCCCCCCACUGCAGCCGUAAUGACCCGAAUCCCCGCUCUUAGGGCCCAGAAGGGGGCCAGGAGGCUCCCAGGCCCCGCUGCCUCUGCGCUAGCGCUUCAGGAAACACACCCUGGAGGGACAAAAGGCUUAUGAGUAUCUGGCGCUUGGAUGACCGCUAGGAUCCAGCCGACACGCCCUUACAAGGGACUUUCCUUCCUCAAGGCCCCUACGGGGGUUGGGGUGGAGAGGAUGGGGUCCCUGAGUCACUUAGGUUCCACCCCUUCCCCGCACCCCGCCACUCUCUGUCACCCCCACCCCGGGCUGCAGGGCUUAGGGUCACCCGGCCGCACCCUGCUCAGCAGCAGUGGAAAGUGCCCAACGUUAAGAGUGAGCCCUUCGUGAGCGCCGGGCACGCCUGAGCGCUUCGUGUGAGCAAGGCCAAGAAAGCCGCUGCCUAGCAGGGCCGCGACCCUACGCGGUCCCCUCGCAGAUCCCUGGCCCCUGGCGGGCCCUCUCAAUCUGCUAGGCCUUCGCCUGCGCACCUGAGCCGGCUGGUUCCCACCACCUCCCUGCCUGCUCUCUCGCUCCACCGCUCUACCCGGGAGGAAAUGGGGCACUGGGCCAGGAGGCCACCAGCACUCUAGGAGCAGCAGCCUUCGAAGGGGCCCAGGCGUGCCAAUGGGCACGGGCAGAGGGUGCCAUGUGAUGCGUGCAACAGCAUGUUCCCGCCUAACACCACCAUAAAGUCCACCUGGGGCCCUGGGGGCAGUUGCCUCUCUUGGUCUAAUGGCCCCUGAAUUCGGUGUUACCAGGGGUGACCAGGUCACUGGGAGGUGUAGAGGGGGCUUGAGGACAGAGGGCCAGGAAAUCAAGGGGAGUGAAUAGGGGUUGCCAAUUCUUGCUUAGGAGCCUGGGCUGUUUUCCCAGAGUACUAUGAGACUAUUUAUUGAAAGUUAAUUUUCUGGUACAUAUUCCAGAGAUGGUACAGAGAUCAGCAAAAACACAGAGUAGAAGCACAGGUAUAGAAGACACUGCAACCCUCUUCAGUCAUGAGAUGUCAACCUACCUAUGGCUUCUUCUCCAGGGUGGACUCUGUCCCUCCCAGUCCUCUGUGCCUCCCCUCUCCAGAAUGUUUCCUUCUUUUUUCCCCAGAAGGUAAAUCCUUGUCCAUACUGCUGAAUUCUAGUAAUAAUUAAUUAAUUUAUCUUCUGAAGACCAGUGGGAGAAGGAGUCAGUCAUCAUGUCAUGCCCAAAUAUGGAUGACUCUCCUUGGCUUUGGGUGUCUGCAUGCCUGUGGAGAGACUGUGAUCUCAGUGGGUAUCUCCCUUGCCUCCAAGCUUUGAGGCUGCCUGUAACUCCACUGGUUUUCCUACUAGUGGGUGGUAGGGGGCGAAAUGGCAUUUUUCAGUAGUGAGGCCCACCCCUGCACUCUCCCCUCUCUUGACCCCCAUCUUUCAUACACAGUGCACAAAAUGCACCAGAGUGUCUAAGAGCUGAGGGCUGAGGGGUGGUGACAGAAAGCCCCUAAAAAUUCCACCCCAGUGGAAAGGAAAUAUCCAGAGAUGGAAUUACAUCAAUAAUUGAUUCUCCACUAAGUACCAUCCAUCUGGGUCAUCUGGGGUUCAUUCCUUAAUCGUCAGAGAAUAAGAAAACUGAGUCAUAGUUAACUAUGGAGUGUGGAGGACAUAGGACCACCACCAGAUGUCGCCCCAUCCUAAAGCCCCCAGAUUGGGUAGCCCCAGGAAGCAAAAAUUCAGAGCUUUCAUAUUUUCCCUUAUUUGGAGUAGAUUCUUGGAUGUUAGACAUGCCCCGCCCACUUCCCCACCCCUGGCCCACAGACCCCAGGCCAGGCCCUCCCACAAGGAACUAUAUCCCCAGUGCAAGGGGCUCUUCAGCUGGGAUCCCCAAGAAGCCUUUUCUAGGCCUGUGUAGCCAGGGGGCGCCAGGAGGGAAGGAACUAGCAGAUUGGUGAGGUGAGAAGACCCAGCUGGCAAGACAAGUCAAGAUGUGACAGAAGCCCUGUGUCCUUGGGCUCCCAGACUAUGGGCACAGACAUACGUUCGUGGGUAAAUUUUGGAAGGCAGACUCUGGAUACCCUUCCCAGAUGCGUGGGACCUGAGCUCACCUAUGCGAGUUGCACCUGCCCAGGAUCUGGGCGUGCGCGAGCGCCUGCAUUUUCCAGCCUCUCCGCACACUUUCGCCACCCACCCCAGCCCAGGAGCAGCGCUGCGACAGUCCGACGUGAAGCCUUCCACAGAGGACUCACCUGCUGUCCCCUGCCAGCGGCUGACAACCGCAGGGUGGCGCCCGGCUCGCCUUCGCGCCCGUGCCCGGCGCCUCAGGGCUCUACUGGCGUCCGCCGAGCGCCGCGCGCCUCCACGCGAAUGGGCUGCCGCUGCCCGCCUUCUUGUUGGUCGCAUCCCCGCCCCGCGCCCGCCCCGCGCCAGGCCGGCCCAGCCCGGCAAGCAAGCCUUAAUUGGUAAAAUCACCCAGAAGCCGGGGGCGGUGCGGGGGGCGCGCCAUGAGCUCCAGAGCCCUGUUGCGCCUGGCGACGCCCACCCCCCACCCCCCCACCGGGAUGAGCUCACCGCCCUGCUAGGGCCGCCAGGCCCUGGGGCCGGGGGGAGGGGGCUCACCUUCAGCGUCCGAAGGGCCUGCAGAGCUCUUCUCUAGGCCCAACUUCAACGAGGCUGGAAGGCUGAGUUUAGGGGGAAUCCAAGCACUCCCCUACUGAAAAGGCCCAGCUCCAAGGCCACCUUCUCCAGAGAACCAACCAGUCAAGUCCUCUGUCUCUUCCCUAAACCUUGGCUGGCCACACAAGUCAGAUCCUGCCCCCUAGGUGAGGGGCAUCAGUAAGUAUUCACUGAGCCUCUACCAUGCUCCAGGCUCCAGUGUGGUGGACUACAGGGCACUGAGCCCUAUGAUGAGCAAGCCUCACUGGUUAGGCCCCUGCUGAGUACAGGCCUGACCUAGGAGCAAGCAGCACAGAUGCACUGAACUCCUAAUUCAAUAUGGUGCAGUCCCAAAGCCUGGAAGUGUGCAGUGGGGUACAGCCAAAGUGUCUGUGAACCUGGUGGGCACAGCCACACCCUAGCAUUGCCAGGCUUCCUCUUCCUCUUCUACAUGCCUGUUUCCUGGUAGCUUCAGAUUCAGCUAAAAUGUCACUUCCUAGGGGGAGGCCACAAAAACAAUGUCAUUUUGACAUUUUGUCUGCAACAAUCAAUAGGAGCUACAUUUUACAUUCCUGAGCCAGUAUACAUACCUUUACACACACUUACACACAUGUAUGAUUGAAACAAACAUUUCAUAAAAUGAGACUUUCCCUUAGUAUCUGCAGUGUACUCUAUUUUCUAUUCUAUUUUAUGAAAAAAAAAUGAAACAAAGGAAGAGAAGAAGGAAAAAAUAAAAGAAAGGAAAAAAUUUUUAAAAAAAGAAGAAAGAAAAGAGUUUGGUUACAUCUGCUAAGUGAAUCUGGCAAUCUUGUUUCACACAAACAGCAAGGUGCUGGUCGCCUUCCAGGCUUUCCCCAUCUGCUGCUGCCUUUACUAGCUGUGCUGUCAAUGCCAUUUCACACCUUGACUCAUUAUGGGAGCCUCCCAACAGUGCCAGGUUCUCUAGCUGCUCCCUACAUUGGAAGCCCCCACUGGGAAGGCCAGUGGAUUAACUUCACUUACUAAACAAGGAGCCUGAGCUCAGGCCCCUGAGGUAGCUGCUGUGGAGUUCAAGGCUGUCCUUCCAGGAGGAAAAACCCACCUAUCCAGAGGCAUGGCAAUCAGAGCCAGGGGUAGAAUAGAUGGGGGGAGUGCAAAAGAAGUGGUGGCUGUAUGGUGAGUCUCAGGACCCCCAUUACACUACCCUGUUUAUCCUACCCUCCCCACACUGCACAUGCUCUAAACACAAGCGGUUCUUUGCCUCAACUUCUUCCAGGUGUUGGGGGCACAAAGGUUCAUAUAGCACCAACUGUUUCCUGGUGAAGUUCAUAAUAAACUAAAAACAUUUUCU